GGUCUGGGCAGACUGCAGCCCAGGAUUAUGUUGGCACACCAGGAGGAUCAUAUUCUACACUGUCUCGCCACAGAACACCAACCUUAGAAGGAGAUGAUUUGUAUAUGAAUAAUGUAUGCUUUGAUAGGCACACCGCAAGAUAAAACAUUCAACACAGGGCUGAGACUGUACCGUUUAGUUCUCUGCGGUCUCCCUCCCUCCGUUUCAGAAGGACUGAACCAUCUCAACUCCAAACAUGGGACUUAUGUUGUCUGAUUGAAGCAGAUAGCGGCGGCAUGAAAGGGGGAUGGCGGCGGUGACAUCGGAGGAAAGCGGUGAAAUCUCUGAGGCCGUGUCUUACGGCUCUCUAAGCAUCCUGGGAAAUAUGGCACACAAUGUACGGGAGCCACCGGGGGGGAUCAAACUACAUUCUGCAUCGUUUCCCUAUCCAACGGGACAUGAAUGUGUGUGUGUUCAAGUUUAUGAUGAAGACAAGUGUGAGCGCAUAAAUGUGUAUUUGAUUGAUAGGGAGAGAAAAUUGUGUUUUAUUAUUUUUGUGUUUGCCCAAUAAAAAGUAAUUUACGACAGAAUAACAGACUUUGUUUUCCUGUGCUGUAGCUGUGCCCCCCAGAGAGCUCCGAUGUUCAGACACACCAAACAAACUAAACGCUUUUAAAACUCAUUCACUCAGAUCCAGUUCCUCUUCAAAAAAAGAUCCCAUAUCAGAUGCCUUACAAAUCAAUUUCAAACAAUCACAGCUUCUUCAAAUAUUGUAACAGUACAGAGCUAAAGGGAACCAAUGACAA